rnacentral:rRNA from 1 species
AUGGCGUCGUACGGUGUUGCAUCUUUCGACGACAGCCUCACCGCCGCCGCCGCCGCUCCCACCGCCGCGGUCAGCUUGAAGACCAAGAUCGCCGGCACGAAGGCCACUUCCUCCAAGGCCAUGACGGAGAUGGCCAUCGCCGGGAACGUGUGGGCCUCCCUGGUCCUCCUCGUACCGAUAUUCACUUUCGUGAUCCCCGUGUGUAAGGUAAAGAGCGUCCAAGGGAGGAACGCGCUGGGUUUUUUGUCGAUGAUUCUCGGGUGCGCGGCAUGGAUUGUCUUCGCCAUCCCUUCCAUGCCCGGCUCCUUGCCCGUGCUGGUGGUCAACGGCGUCGGGAUACUGAUCCAGGCGGCGUACAUCGCGCUCUUCCUCUGGUUCGCCAGCGCCGUCGUGCGCCGGAGGACCAUCAAGCAGCUCGUCUUCGUCGUGGCAGUGUCUGUGGUUCUGGCUCUGCUUAUGGUGGUGCUCGUGCUGGUCACAAAGGUGUGCAGCCCGAAGGUAUUCGGCGUCGUGGCAGCCACAUACAGCACGGGCCUGUUUGUUGUCUCGAUGGCAAUGGACAUGGUUGAUGUGGUGAAGAACCGGCCAGGCCAGCAGCACACGGCCAGGACAACCAUUUGGUCAUUGGAUUUAGACUUCACAAUCGAUGAUUUAUGUUUUGUGGUGGAUCUCACAAGUAUGUUAUGA